AGCUCUUUGUCAUUUGGUUUUGCAAUUACUAAAGAUUUGUAUAGCUCCAGUGGAAAGACAACAAAACUGCAGAAUUGUUGUUUUCACCUGAAAUUACCAAGAAGGUCAUUGCUCCUUGUAUUGAGUAAACCUUAAGUGUUAUUAGGACUUUAAAUUGCUUUUUAUUAAAUGUUAUUGUUCAGAUAAAUCAUAUGUGGGGAUGUUGGACUGUGGAUGCGUCUCCCCAGCUGUCACAUUUAUUUGCUUAUCUCCUUAAGACGUUCAAUUUUCUGUCUGUCCCCGGUCUGUGUCUGCAUAUUCUCCAUCUUCUAAUGACCUCCAGCUAUUUCUUGAUAUUAUUUGAAGACUCAUUAGGGCUAUUGUUGUCCAGCUGCCAUAAAAAUCAGAUACUUUAAGCGGGGGAAGCUCUCCUUCCAACCUCCCAAACAGCAGAAGAGCCAUAAGCAUCUUACUAUGGAUUUCUUUUUAUUAAAGUUGUAUAUCUCCCUUUUACAGACCACGCCGUGUGUCAGGGAUCACAGACCCAGCUGAGGGCUGUGUUUCCCAUGGGACCCUCUGGCCUCAUUGCUCCAGAUGCACUCCCACUCCCUCCCAGCUCAUUUGUCUUUCAAUUUGCAGCUGCAGCCCGCUAAUGAACUCCCCCUUCGCUCUUACCAUGAGAGAGGGACCAGACCUCAGGUAGCAGCGUGGCUCACAGCUGAAGGCUUGGGAACUCGAUGCUCCAUUGCCAAAAGACACAGACAGGCAGACAGACGAGCGGACAGACAGACAAACUGCACGCGGUGCCUCCCUGUACUGCAGGAGCAGAGGACGGCGCUGCCCAUCGCACAGACCCCACCGAUGCCACCAACCAACACAGCGGCUCCAACCCCAUCAACCUUUGGAAGAAGGGGACUGUAGCCCCAAAGCUCCUCUCUGCCAGCUCCCAGAUGCUACAGUAAUUUGACACAUUAACGUCCCAGAGCCCCAGUAAUUGUCAAAGCAGACCACAGUUUAAGGUGCUCUACCCAGUGACGCGUUUGCAGCAGACAGGAAGGUCGAGGAACACCUGAUCCAGCACCAUCCCGCAGCCUCUCCAAUUUGCUCCUAUCAAAUUUCAUCAGCGACUCAGAACUUGAUCUUUCUAUUGAUUGACUGGAGUCACCUCUAGAUAUUUUCAUGCUGAUUUCGAAGCUCUUUCAUACGACAAAAGGGGAAAAAAAAAAAAAAAAUGAGGUUAAGGAAGACUUUUGACCACUGAGCAGCAAUCCAGCCAAAACUUUCCCAAGCAAGUCAUUUGCAAAUUUGGCUUCUGUGCAGAGAGAAACUUUCCACAGCCGAACACAACGUGGGAUCACUCCUAUCCUCACCCUGACCUCCCUAGAGUGGACCAUCUGUAAAUGAGGAGUUUCCAUGCUGAACCUGAGAGCACCCCCUAGCCCAGCAGCCGCCUCCCCCUGGACUCCCAGCACGUCCCCAGCCCAGGGCACCCACGCUCGGCCUCAGCUGCCAUGCUGUACCUGCUGGCUCUCCUCCUGCACCGUCUCCCCUUGGCCAUGGGACAGUAUGACAUUUGCAAGUCCUGGGUGACCACCGACGAUGGCCCAUCAUGGGAGUUCUACGCCUGUCAGCCCAGGGCCAUGAGGAUGAAGGAUUACGUGACGGUCAGAGUGGAUCCAGCAGGAAUUACAUGUGGGGACCCUCCGGAGAGGUUCUGCACUCAUGAGAACCCGUACCUGUGCAGCGACGAGUGCGACGCCUCCAACCCAGACCUGGCCCACCCACCAAAGCUCAUGUUUGACAGCGAGGAUGAAGGCUUGGCCACGUAUUGGCAGAGUGUGACAUGGCGCCGGUACCCGGAACCGCUGCUGGCCAACAUCACUCUGUCCUGGAACAAGAGCAUCGAGCUGACGGACGACAUCGUCAUCACCUUUGAGUACGGCCGUCCCACCAUCAUGAUGUUGGAGAAGUCGCUGGACAACGGGAGGACUUGGCACCCGUACCAGUAUUAUGCAGAUGACUGCAUGGAGGCCUUCAGCAUGCCAGCACGGAGGGUCCGGGACCUCUCCACCACCAGUGCCAACAGGGUCCUCUGCACGGAGGAAUAUUCCCGCUGGGCGGGCUCCAAAAAGGAGAAGACCGUCCGCUUUGAGGUGAGGGACCGCUUCGCCAUCUUUGCUGGCCCCGACCUCAAGAACAUGGACAACUUGUACACAAGGCUGGAGAGCGCCAAGGGGCUCAAGGACUUCUUCACCGUGACCGACCUGAGGAUGAGGCUGCUGCGACCGGCGCUGGGGGGCACCUACGUGCAGAGGGAGAACCUCUACAAGUACUUCUACGCCGUCUCCAACAUUGAAGUCACCGGCAGGUGCAAAUGCAACCUCCACGCUAACCUGUGCACCUUCAAGGAGGGCAGCCUCCAGUGCGAGUGUGAGCACAACACCACGGGGCAGGACUGUGGCAAGUGCAAGAAGAACUUUCGCUCCAGGUCUUGGCGAGCAGGAUCCUACCUGCCCCUCCCCAACGGGUCCCCCAAUGCAUGUGCAGCUGCAGGCUCAGCCUUUGGCACCUUUGAGCGACCGCAGCGGGUUAGCACUGCAAAAACCACCACUGCAAAAACCACCACUGCAAAAACCAUCCCCACCACCACAACCACCACCAGCACCCCCCUUCCUGCCUCCACCACCACCCAGCCAGGUUGGUGCCAUGCUUCCUGCGCUCCUCAUUUUGCCUUUUCCUCACCCCGGCUCCUCUGGCGGUGCUGGAGAACGCGUGGGGACUGCUGUGGGUUUUCUGUGCUCUAGGAUGAUAUGGGGACAUGGAUAAAAAUCAGCCUGACGGGUUCACAUCCCUCAACCUCGGAGCAGACCUGGUUUGCUUUGCCCCUGUUCAGUCCCAGGGCAGUAGGAGCAGGUGCCAUGUUUCCUCCAACCAUGAAGCCAACAGUUACAGGUCCACCUUGGAGCCCAAGACCACGCAGUGGGUUGACAUCCCCCUCUCUUACUAUCAGGGCAGCAGGAAGAAGCCAGGACUGGAUGCAGGAAGGAACAAUUUUCCCUAUUUUUCCUCCUUUUUCUUUUUUUUUUCCCCCCCCCAAAAAGGCACAAUGGGAGAGGAUUGUGCUCACCUUCCUUCCCCCAGCGGGCUGGCUCUGCCUUCAGUGGCUCUCCAAGUUCUGCCUCAAGUCCCAGCUCAAGGGCUGAGCUGCAGGCUGGCUGCCUGCUCAAGGGCAGGCGUUCAGAGAGAACUGGCACACGCCAACAAUCCCCAAGCAGCUCUGCACAAAUAGAGGGCAGAGAAUGGAGCUCGCACGCGCCUCAAACACCCCUUCCUAUUUUCUCCAAUCACCCCGUGGAGGAAAACUUUUGUGUUUUCUCCUGGGGUUCCUCCUCCCCUCCCCUGCGAACAAGGAGACAUCGUUUUCACUUUUCUUUUGGAAAUGAGCAGAUAAAACUUAACAGCAGGACGUUUUUUUUUAAGCUUCUCAUGGGGGAAUUAGACACGCAUUCCUCCCAUUGCCAUGCUUUCUGGGCCUGAUAUUUCCCAGGAGGACGAUUUACACCCACAGUAUGUUAGUAACAGUCUGUCUGGGGGAGCUGCCAGAAGCCAGUCAAAGGGAUGAGGAAACUUGAUUACAUGUUUAUGAAUAUAUAGCUAUAUACAGGGAGGUACCCUGCUCGGGAAGCUGGGGGUUUAUCUCCACUUCCACAGACUCUGGGUAAUCUUCUCUGUUCAAAAGCACUCUUCACCCAUAUAUAUGACCUACAGUAUGCAUGGGGAGGUUGUUGGCCACCCAGUGCUCCCAUCACCACUAUGUCCACAAUGGAAGGAACCACACACUUGGGGUCGCCUGAUUUUUAUCCAUGCUCACUCACAGCAAUAUUUUAGGCCUAGUUUUGUUAUUGUUUGUUUUUUUUUGCAAGUGCUGUGUGUACGUGGGUGGUGUAUUUAGUGCCUAUCUCACAUAUGAUUUUGUCCAUCUGGGGCGGGCAGGGAGGCAACAGCGCAGUGUUGGGGAUGAAGGGCCAAGCUGCUCUGAGCAACCUGGAUUUGGGGGUUAUCCCUUCUCCCUGCAUAGAAUCAAUGCCCUCGUAGUGUUUUCACAUCACCCCUUAGCACCAGGUAAUAAGUAAAUAAAGAAAUGUAAACCGUGGAACAGCCACCACAUCUCUGCCUCUACAGGGGCAGGGCUGAGCUGAUCAUCUCCAUCCAAGCCCUGGUUUGUUUUUCUGCACUGCCAGGUCUCACCCCAGAACUGUGUCUUUGAUAUGGAAUCAAAGCACAGCCCAAUCCUAAUUUGUUUUAGAGCUUAAGAGUGUAGAGUUUGCCCCCAGUUCUUACCUCUGUGCAGGAAAGGAGAUUCAGGCUGGGGUUUUGCAGCUCUCAUGGUCCCUUCAUAGAGGGAAUCUGGUCCCCAAUCUCCAGAGAUGUCCAGAGAUAAUCUUCCCACUCCAGCCCUGCAAAAUGUAAAGUACUUCUUUAAAUACCACAAGGGGCUCUGAAUGGAACUCACUUGAACCUCAGGGAAAACACCUCAUUAAAAAAAGGUGACCCACUUGCAGGAGACGCAAUAACCCCGAGAUGGGUAACAAUCCCAAGUGAGAUCCUCUGUCAUUGCCUCUCUCCUCAAUUUUAGAAGCAUGAAACAAAUUCCUCCUUACUUAAAAGUCAGCUCAGACAGACAUAAUACUCCCCCUCCCCCCAGGUCCCAUCAAUGUCCCAUCACUGUCUUGUUUCCCCCUCUAACAUACACGCUGUUUUUUCACCCUCUGAAUUUCUGCUUCCCACCAUAAGCAAGCAUCAUCAGACCUGCCUCUGAGCCCGCUGCCUCUCUGCCCAUGAAAGAGAAGGAGGAAAAAACAGGUAUUUCCAGCCAGACUGAUGUGUUCUCCCUUCUCCUCCAUCCCUCCACGCGCUGGGAUAGCAGCCAGGCACGUAGACUAGAGGGGCAGAUCAGAGUUGGGUUGACUCUGGGUUGCGGGGAUCUGGCAGACAGCAGCCUCCUUUGGCUGCUCGUGGUGCUUUCUGUGGUCAAGGAGGAGCUGUGCUCAUGUUCUUGGGAUGCUUUUGUGCCCGCUGUGUGGUGAGAGGGGAAAGGAGUGUGUUCAGUGCGUUCAAGGACUCGGGCUGUGGUCUGAGCAUAGUGGGGUCUGCCAAAACGGGCAGAACAGUUACCCCAAGGAGGAUGAAUUGAGUGCCAUUCUCCCUUGUCUUCCACAGUUUUGUUAUUUCUAAGUCUUCCCCGGAGCCUGUCAAAUCUGCCUUGCCAUUAGUUACGUUUUCCCCCACAUUCAAAAUAAGCAAAAGGAGCUUUCUUGGUUUUUUGUUUUGUUUUUUCCUUCCCCUUUUCCUGCUUCCAUUUUCCCCACUGGUUUGUAACCCAGCAGUGCCAGUUCACUUCUGGGACAAACAGAACCAACCUAAGCUUUGGUUUUACCAACUCCCUGGUGCUGGACAAACACAUCCUAUGCCCUUCUCUCCCAGAUGCUCGUGCACUUGGGGAAAGACAAGGGCUUCUCAAGGUCUUUCCCCUGUACUUCUGCACUGUUUCAAACAUCUCUUCCCCCAGUGUGUUUUUUUUUUACAAAGAAGGGCUUCUUGGUUCACUUUCUGCUGCCUCACCAGAAACCCCACCAAGACCUGGUGUUGCCACCAGAGCCAUAGAAGCCCAGCAGGAGGUGCCUGGUGCUCCCAUUGGUGUGGAGCGGGUUUGGGUGAAGCAUCUCUCUCCCACUCCUGAAAUGUAAAACUGUCCAUUAAUGUCACAGAGCUACAAGGGAAAAGUUCUCAGGAUAAUGAGCAUUAAUAAUUUUCCUGGCUCUGCAAACGCGAUGUGAGUGGAGGUGUAUGCGAAUGACUAAAAAGCAAAAUGCCUCCAGGGCUGUUUUUUAUUGUGACUCUAAUUAAACCCUUGCCAAUUUGCACAGGGCUUUUUUCAUAUUCUCCUUUAACAGCAUAUUAAUAUCAAUUGGUUUCCACUUUCCAGCUGAAAAGGACAAUGUCUAUCACCUUCUCUUAGAGCUCAUCAUUUAGGGAAAAAAUAUAUUCUUUUUUAUUCUGCAUUGUUUAUGAUCCCCUUGACGAGGCUGGGAAAUCACAUUUCUCUCCUACUCGGGUUUGUCCUUUGAAACUUGGCAAGGAUCGAGGAAUUUUUUUUUUCCCUCCUCCUCCUUAUGUUACCCAAUUGGAGCCUGAAAUUAAUAAUGUGGCUUUUAAAUUUGCAUUCCUCGAUUUGUUUUCUAGCAAACCUGAAGAUUGUUACCACUACUGAGGAGACAGAGAGGGGCAUGGAAGCAGAGGGGUUGAAAGCAUGCAGAGAAACCGAACUAGGGAUCUAUAAAUGCCCUGCUGCUUUAAUUUCCCUGCAGGGGCUUGCAAAUUCUGUAACUGCUAUUUCCAAGGAAAGAGCAGAGCCUGAAGCAGGGCCGAGUUAACAGCAGAAAUCAGGACUCAGUGCCUCCAACACGUAGGAUAUUCCUCUGCAAACACACAAAACUAAAGCAGUGCUUUCGGAAGGGCUGAGAAGCGACAGCUCAGUUGCACUGCUCCCCUCCUGUCCUCUGCACUGCAAUGUGGGGAUGUUAGCUGCCAAAUCCCACCCGAGGCACAAAAACCUGCAAGGCACGUGCUCACAGGGCCAGGUUUUGUCCUCCAGCCCAAUGCAAAGCUCCCAGCUGGUUCCCAGUUCCCCCAGCACAUCUCCUAACACAGCUCUCUGUCUGAUUGCUGCCAGGCUACCCCAACCUGUCUGCGGCUGCCCCGCUGCAGGUGGGCUCUCCCCCAGCCAAGGUUGGGGCAGCAGAAGGUAGGAGAUACACGGCUGAGUCGGGUCCUGCCAGCCAAUCCCUGCUCCCACCUCUUUCCUUUGUAGCUCUGCAUAUCUUCUUUCCAUGCAUCUCUCUCUUCCUCCCGCCUGGGAAAAGCUGGGGGUUCAUCUGUGCCCUACAUGCAGCUGGUAAUCUGGUGAGGCUGGAUUGAGCCUCAGGGUUUAGUCGCAUACAUGAAAGAUGAGGAUGAUAAGUGGUAGAAGAGAUUGUUCUCGGCUUGCUGCUGGGGUGAACAGAGAGGAUCAUGGAAAUCCUGUUGUCUCCUGAGACCAGAAUAACUUUGUAAACAGAUAGGCUUGUGUCGUUUAUAGCAUAGAUGCCUUCUUACAUAUUUCCUUGCUUCGGGUCUCCCACGUGUCUGCCUACGGUGAGCUAUGAAGCUCCUGGUGGGAGCCCUGGGAGGCUGUUGGGGCUGCAGUGCCUCCUCCUCAGGGCUCCCACUGACACAUGCUUUGGCAGCUGCUGGUGGUGCUCACUGCCUUCUUCCAGCUGAGAUGCCUGUAGCUAUCUCCCCCAUAGACACCAGCAUCCCUUCCAGUGCAGAAUGUAACACCAGCUGGAGCCAGGCCAGGACACAACCCAGCAUCUGCUAAUAGUGAAUGGGGGACAGAAAGUGCUGGAAUUCAGGCUUGUUUGAACUGUUGUGCUUUUGGGUUUGUCUCUAACCUCACAGAGAGAAAAAAUUGUAUUUGAAAUAGUUAUAAGAUAGGCCAACACCAUUUGCACCAAUGCCAGGUGAUGCUGACGGUCUGUACUGAACAAUGGGGACUCCUGAGUCUUGGCAGAGGUCUGCUUCUCUCCAUGCUUCAUGCAAUGCAGUGACCACAUGUCAACACUCAUCUGUCCAGCAGCUCCUCUUAGGAGUAGCUUCUGUACUAGAAGACCAAUUUCCAGGAGAUUUUGUCUCCCAUACAUGUCCCAUUGCAUCCUCAACCACACAUGGCUCCACCAACCCACCCUAGAUACCUGAAUAGAGCUUCCAGUGUCCUUUUCUCUCCUUUUUAAGCAAGCAAGUGCAAGACCUGUAUUAAAUCUGAUGUUCUCUCUAACUGAUGCCACCUUAAGCUGUUCAGAGCCCAACAAAAGUAGCAGCACCUGAACCCAAGCUGAAGCCACCAGACCCUCCCAAGAACAUUCGAGGUAAGGCCCUUUCCCAGAGAUGGAGCAGGUCUGUUUUCUCCCCCAUUGCCCACAGGCUGGGAAAAAUGUGCCCAUCCUCAGCGUGCCCAGCACUGUGCAAUCCAUUCCCCCACUCGUAUUGAGAUCAGCUCAAUUCUGCUCAUUCCACCCCAUAGAAGUCUUUCUGAAUGCUCUUUUGGGGUUGGCAGAUGUGGAUGGGUGGGACAGGUGAGAGAAACCAGGGGCCAGUUUCCCUAUCCACCAUUCCUUGAGAGACCAUUUGCCUUUUCCACACUUGGAGAACACGGAAGAUACACUGGGGGUCCCAUGAGCACCAGCUCAGCCAUGGGCAGCCACUUCUCCUGGUGGAUCAGCCACCACCCAGCCCUGCACAGCAAGCAUGGGGGGCUCUGUGUCUCCACCUCAGCAUUCAGAUAUAUUUUAUCAUCUCACGUAGCAGCUCCGAAGAACAAAGCAGGGCGCACAGCACACUCUGCAGGCAAGAGGCAUGGGAAGAAGUCAGGUAGGUGCUGGGAUGGGCAAGAGGGCUGGAGCAGCCUGGGUUCUGCAGGAUUCUGUGCUUUAUACCACCUCCGUAGCUUUUGUGCUCUUAGCUGUGGUCCUAGCUGCUUUUUGAGGGUGGUGACAGGCUGUCUGCAUGGCCGUCAUCAAAGCAAGGCCGCAGACAGGAGCUCUUUAGACCUGUAGAUCCUCAGCCUGGCCAAGCCAACCCCAUGUGUAAGCAGGGGACGCGUGGAUGGCUCCUUCUGCCCAGCACUCAGCUCUGUGCAUUGCAAUACUGCCGUGCAUGGAAUUUUUCAUGCAUCAAACUUUGAGGAGGGGAAAAGAAGAGGAGAAAUUUAGCAGCUACCAGCUGUCUGGUGCAGAAAUAGCUUUCAACGCUGCCAGCGCGGUGUUCCUGACUUGGCUCAUCAUUGUUCUCAUAGCAGAGAUGCUCGCGGUAGUGUAGGACGCAAAGCGGUGUAGAGCAGUGAGAAAAAGCCUGUCUCUGAUUUUCCUUAAGCAUCCUCAAAGAACUCAAAACUCAUCCGGCUCCAACCAGACACCGGCCCGCUGGCUCCUAUUGAAACAUAUAAAGACUGUGAGUGCUACGGCCACUCCA